GAGCCCGCACACCUUGCGCUUCUGCAGGACGCUCCUGCACCCCCAGUCGGGCGGGCGGGCGGCACAAGGGCAAGUGCAGAGCGCGGCCCGGACCCAGAUUCCAGCAGCCUGGGUUGGCCUAGUGUCCCAUCAAGACAGAUCUUCUCAUCGCUCUGGGGACCUCCCAAGACUGUGAAGUAGAGUGACUGGACCAGUCCUUGAGGGCCAGGCCUGGAGAGGGCCAAGUGUGGAGUCCCAUGGGGUGGGGUGGGCAACCAGCUCCUGGGGUCCUUAAACCCAGGCAGAGCCUGGGCAGCAAGAGGCCUGCCCUUGUUCCGGAAGCUGCUUGAAAACCAGUCAGGGGCAGGACAGGGCCCAGGCUGCUCCAAGCAUGCACACCAGCACCAAACGUGGGGGACAUGGUGAAGAAUUCGCAUGCACCAUGUCAGGUCCCCAGGCACAGAGGCAAGGAUGUGCUCCCAGGUCACCUCCCGGGCUUACCGUCCUCUCCCUGUGAGGAUGCUGCCCAGGCUGGGUCUGCAGAGGCUGGGAGAGACGAGAUGGAAAGCCACAUGGUGGCCAUUAUUAAGCUGCUGGACACUCCUGUCCCAGCCCCUGAGGAAAGGCUGAUGCCAGUUCCCAAGGUCCCCAGGGUCGAGGACAARGCCAGAAACCAGAGCAUCAUUUACCCAGAACACGGCCAUCACAGCAGCAGGCAUGUGCAGCACUGGGAAAUUGCAUGUUCCAGAAGCUUCUGUGAGGAGUCUGCCGGGCUKUGA
rnacentral:lncRNA from 1 species